rnacentral:precursor_RNA from 15 species
GAACAUUUUUACAAAAUGUUUUCGAUGUAUAGUUAGCAUUGGUCGUUUCUAUGCUUUUUUGUGAUCAUAUACCGAUCGAUGCUCGCUUUAUUUCGAGUCACAUAACUGGAACGAAUAAA